rnacentral:lncRNA from 1 species
AUUGUUUUGUAGUAUUAAAUUAUAAGUAGAAAGUAUUUAUAAAAUUAGAUUUCUAUGAAAAUGAGGGGUAUACCAUUUUUUUAUGAAAAAAAGAGGGUGCAAACACACAAAGUUUGGAAACCACUACUUUAAAGUGAAAAAAUUACAUUUGUUAUCUAAUAUUAGAAUGAUUCUGUUGAUUCUGUCCAAGCCAGUUAUAAACAUGUAUGGUAAAAUGAAUGUGCAUAAUUUCAACAACAGUUCAAAGAAUUGUUGGGGCUCGAAAAUUGUUUAUUUUACAAAGAAAUAUAUGUAGGAAAACAUCAUUUAGAAUUAGAUUUGUGAAUAACAGAAAUAUCUAUUUAUUUGAAUGUGAUAUAAUUGCAUUGAGUCAACAUUAUUAACAUACAAUUAUUAUGACUAAUAUUGGUUGGACAGGAGAAACAAAAUGAAACACAAUGAAUAUACAACUGUAUUUUCCCAUCAGUUAGAAAUUUAUAAAUAAUAUACAUCUCAAAGUAUGAUCUAUCACUUUAAGAAAUAUCAACUGUGGGGCCGCUGGACGAUAUUGACAGGCAUUGGCCUAAUUGCAAUGAGGGACAUGCGUAAGGAUGGGUAAUGAGAAUCGGCAAAUGAAAUGGAGACAGUUUUCAAUGAGAACAACUUCCUUUAUUUGAGAGAUCCCAGUCACAAUGUAUGUGACUUGUGAUUUUA